UGGGUAGUUGGUAUUUGAUACAAUUGUUAUAUAUUUAGGGGUUCUUCAGAUUAACCACAUUUUUUUUUUGCAUGUUUAGAGUGGGUAUAUUCAGUUGUUCUACUGGUCAUAAGACAUUAGUGCUGAUUCUUUUUGAGACAUGCAUCAUGCUUUUACUUGUUCGAAUUUGAAACAGAUCCAAACAGAAUCACAUAAUUCUGAAGCAAAAGAAGUUGAACAUGAAAUGAAUAUCUCUAGCACUCCUUUCAUCUGCUGCCAUCAGUGACUCUCACUUUUGUUUAAUGGCAGCAGUGCUAUUUUUUUUUAUUCGAGUGAAGUAACUCUAUAUUAUGGCAAUUUAUCAAGAUUUUAAUUAGCACAAAAUUUACUCAUUCUUUUAUCCUUGCAAGGAAGGUGUUAAAUGCUGGCAAGAAUAAGCUUCGAACAAUCGAUGAAAUUAGAUCUAUCACAAGCUUAUGAGUUUUAAUUUUGAAAGGUAACUAUUCCGAAAAGUUUUUUAUACAAAUUUUGUGGAUACCUGAAUCAAUCUGGAAUUUAGCUCUGUGUAACAUCUUUACUUUGUCUUUUCUAUUACAUAUAACAACAUAUCUUGCAUCUGCAAGCUUGAUCAGCUCACAUACUUGAAAUACGCUUGCUAUGUAACACACAAACUCAAGUUUUCCAUGAAAGCAGUAUUAUCUUUGUCUUUCCUGAUAUUUCUCAUAAAAACUUCUGGAUUUUACUCAUAUACAGGUACUAUUGUCUGGUAAUCCUGGACAAGAUGGGGUUGGGGUUGGGAAAUGAAUGUUCCUAGAGAAAGGAAAAGGGAAGGUGUG
rnacentral:lncRNA from 1 species